UUGUCUGGCCACGGUCUGGUUUUUGUUUGUCUUCAUGUAUAUUCUCUGUAUGGUUCAGACCGAUGGGGCAGCAGCAGCAACACUAGAUAAUGGCUUUUUGUUUUUUUGCUUGUGGUUGUUUGUUUGUUUGUUUGUUUUGCCUUUUUCUCAGAGAAUCAUCACAGCAUGAAGAUAAAACCAAUUUGUGCUUAUAUUAAGAUACCAUUGGCUAAAUGAAGUCACAUGGUUAAGUUCAGAGUUGUUGGGGACAUCUAGUAUAUCCUUCUCUCAGUGGGGAGGGAAUCAACAGUACAUAAUAAAAUACUAUGUGUUAUCCAAGCCUCAUCACAUCUGUUCGUUCACUCACUGCCUACAGUACAACAGAGGGGCUAAAACAGGCAGACGGGAGAAAGCAAGAACAGAAACAAAAAGGAAUCUGCCUAUGUCUUAAAUCUGCCCCCCAAAGGCUUAUGUUUUAAAGUCUUAGUUGUCUAUAUGACAGUUUGGGGAGGGGUGAGUGUGGAGAAAGUGAAGGUGUUUGGGUCUGGCGGCCUCGCCCUGGGAAUGGACUAGUGUCUUCCCUGAGCUCCUAUGAUCACGGACUAGACUUGAUAUGCACAUGAGAAGUCUUGUAAAGCAAGGCUGCAGUUGUGUUCUCUGUGCUGUACGAGCCUGUGCUUCCCUUUCCACACAGCCGCCAGUCCUGAGCUCCCAGGCUCUGCAGCCAUGACCCAAACGAACCUCUUCCUUUAUAGGUUACCCUCUCGCUCUGAUCAUUUUAGCAAAAGUAGCCUGUAACAAACCUGGGUGAAACUGAGGAGGUAUGGAUAAUGAACAUAAGAGAAUCUAUGAAACACUGUACUUUCUAAUAGAUAUUUUAUAUGAAAAAUAAACAUAGAUGUUAUAUAAAAGUGUAAGGGCAUGCAGGAACUAACGGACAGGAAUAAAGACACAACAUAUUGUUUUCUUAAUUUCCAUAGAAGAGGUAACUCUAGGUGCUAGACUCUGAGGAGAAGAUAUUAGUAAUUUAGGUAACCUGUUCAGUAGAUAGCAUGGUCAGUGAUGGUGCCAGGGCUAUCUAGAAAAUACAAAGUGUCUGGCAUUAAAACAUUUAAAAUAGCCAUUCAAGGUAGUGUCACCAAACUAAAAGCCAAACCUUAGACAAGCCUCCCUAUUGAAAGGGGUCACUGCGCACAAGGACACAAAGAAUGAAAAUGUAUUCUCUGAGGUUAUGCUCUCAUUAAACUGCAAAGUGACUGGGAAACAGUGCUGUAAGUUUCCAGGAAAGGAAAAAGCAAAUUCCAGAGCAAUUAUUAGAAAUCAGAUAGGCUCUUCAGUGGUGUCCUAAGAUCCUAAGAUGACAGCGCAGAUUCUCUACUAUUCUGAGGGAAGAGAGUCUUCAAAGUCGGAGGUUGUCAUGCACAGACAAACCUCCAGUUUAUCUGUAAGCAGCUGUCUAAGGACACACACACACACACACACACACACACCACACUGUUGUGUUUUUUAAGUUUCCUGUCUUAGGAAAAGUAGUAACUCUUUAUUGAGAGGAGGGGAGCCUUGCUGGCCUUGACUUUAUAGAGUGCUCAGAUUAACCACAUAUUCUACUAUGCCUGACCAACAAGCACCUCUUAAGGUGCAUUAGGGAUGGCAUAAAGAAUUGAUAUAAGACAGAUAAAAGGGUCAGAAGUAAGUUAAAAUAUAUAAUUUGAUAUUUCAGUAUUCAAAAAUGUUAUUAGUUGACUAUUUGACUAUUAAUGUUUAAUACUUAUGGAGACAUAUCAGUUAUUUAGAAAAAUAAAUUAUUUUAAGUGGGCAACCAGAGUGAAGUUAUACACUUUUUUUCCCUGGUAUUUAUGUGCUAGUGACAGGGAGGGCCAUUUGCAUCUUAGAAUUUGAAGCCAGCCUUCACAACACAGACCCAGCUCAAAAGCAAGCAAGCUAUGCUCCCCGUAUACAAUAAGAGGCUAUUAAUCCCCAAAUAAAUAAAAUAUUAAUGAAGAAAAUUAACAAAAAAUAAUGUUUGUCUCAGUAGAGGAAAAAUUUUUAUUAUGAUGUGAUCAAUCACUAAUGUAUCAGUAAUGAAUACUGAUUCAUAGCUAGACUUAUCUGAGGGUUUGAGUUGGAUCUUUAGAAUGAUGUAUAGGCUAUCAGAAUUCCUACACAUGAGUGGUCCUCCUGCCUCAGCUUCCUAAGUAGCUAGGACUGUAGCUACAUGCCAGCUACUAUGUUGCCUAGCAAAGAGAGGAUAGCUAAUUUUUUAUAUUAUAAAUCAAGACAUAGUAAUAUGCCAUUUAAAAUAAGAAUAUAGAAGCUACAGAGAUGACUCAGAGGUUAAGAGCACUUACUGCUCUUGGAGAGGACAUGAGUUCAAUUCCCAGCACCCACAUAUAACUCCAGUUGUACGGGAUCAGAUGUCUUUGUUCCUCUGCAGUCACCAGGUAGACAUACAAGCAAAAUACUCAGACACCUUUCU
rnacentral:lncRNA from 1 species